UACGUAGGGUGCGAGCGUUGCUCGGAAUUACUGGGCGUAAAGAGUGUGUAGGCGGUGCUCCCAGUCUGGUGUGAAAUCUCCCGGCUUAACUGGGAGGGUGCAGCGGAAACUAGAAUGCUAGAGGGUGGGAGAGGUAAGCGGAAUUCCUGGUGUAGCGGUGAAAUGCGUAGAUAUCAGGAGGAACACCUGUGGUGUAGACAGCUUACUGGACCACUUCUGACGCUGAGACACGAAAGCGUGGGUAGCAAACAGG
rnacentral:rRNA from 1 species